GAGGAAAACAAAAAAGAAGAAGAAAAUCGGCUAAGGAAAAAAAAUAGGGAGAAAAUUAAAAUCUUGCUCCAAAAAAAUAUUUUCUCCUAGUAUUCCUACUAAUUCAAGGAUCCUCUACGACAUGAUGAAGUUAUUUUGGAAGAUAGGAGGCUUGUUUGGUUGAUUUGAAGCUUUGGUAAAGUGAAGAAGUUGGAAGGAAAAGAUUUUGGAGAAAACGGAAAUUGAACUUGGACAACCGUAGAAGGCCAAAAAGGUACCGAAGUUCGAUUUGUUGAUCCACCUGUUUAGGACAUCUGCUGUGUUAUUGACAGUGCUCUCUUGUUCGGAGCUUGUAUUUUGGUACUGACUUUAUCUCUGUAUAUUUGGAUAUUUUGGUCAGGGGUACGACGGGACCCUAUCCCGUCAUAUGACUAUGCUAUCAUCUGUAGAGGUCUGUAGAUAGAGUUAUGUUGUGGGUUUUGUAUAUAUAGUUUGGGUUUUGUGUGUUUUGUGACGGCCUAUCAGCCCUCGUGCCUACAUCUAUUUUUUUGAUCUAUUUAGCAAUUUUUUUCUAAUCACUACCUUUGUUUAUUCGGUUAAAAGGCUAAUU